GGCGAACGCUGGCGGCGUGCUUAACACAUGCAAGUCGAACGGAAAGGCCCUGCUUUUGUGGGGUGCUCGAGUGGCGAACGGGUGAGUAACACGUGAGUAACCUGCCCUUGACUUUGGGAUAACUUCAGGAAACUGGGGCUAAUACCGGAUAGGAGCUCCUGCUGCAUAGUGGGGGUUGGAAAGUUUCGGCGGUUGGGGAUGGACUGGCGGCUUAUCAGCUUGUUGGUGGGGUAGUGGCUUACCAAGGCUUUGACGGGUAGCCGGCCUGGGAGGGUGAACGGCCACAUGGGGACUGCGAGACGGCCCAGACUCCUAUCGGAGGCAGUAGUGGGGAAUAUUGCACAAUGGGCGGAAGCGUGAGGCAGCAACGCCGCGUGCGUGAUGACGGCCUUCGGGUUAUAAACCGCUUUCGCCGGUGACGAAGCGUGAGUGACGGUAAUGGGUAAAGAAGCACCGGCUAACUACGUG
rnacentral:rRNA from 1 species